rnacentral:lncRNA from 10 species
ACAGAGCAGGGACUCAAAAAGCAACAUCAGAGUUGGAGUAGCUUGUGGAAGAAGCAAGUGAAGUUCUGUAAAGCAGUCUUAUUAAUGGUAUUCUUGAGCCCGCAAGGAAGGCAAAUGCAACACACUCGUUCCCACGAAACAACCAGCACAGGAGAUUUCUGUGGCUAAACAACGCUGUAAUGGAAAUCACAACACAGUCAGGCCCACCAUUCUGGUGGAAGAACAAAACCCAAAUGAAACCCGUCAAAUGGUUAUGCAACUUUUACUACAUAUAACAUGGUUACCAUGCUUUAGGGGGGUGGGCAAUAAAAAAUAAUAGAAAUAUUAAAGACUAUCUAAAUACCCUUUAUAGGAAAUCCAAUAAAAAAGUAUGUUGGAAAUACAAAA